AACGUAGGAGACAAACGUUAUCCGGAGUUACUGGGCGUAAAGGGCGUGUAGGCGGUUAGUUAAGUCUGGCGUGAAAGCUCUCGGCUAAACCGGGAGAGGUCGUUUGGAUACUGGCAAACUAGAGGACGGUAGAGGCGUGUGGAAUUCCGGGUGUAGUGGUGAAAUGCGUAGAGAUCCGGAGGAACACCAGUGGCGAAGGCGACACGCUGGGCCGUACCUGACGCUAAAGCGCGACAGCAUGGGGAGCAAACGGG
rnacentral:rRNA from 1 species